CAAAGAUUUUUGUUUUAUUGUAUUUCUGUUUGUUAUCAGUUCAUUAACUUCUUUAUAGCAGAACUGCUGAAAUUAAGGAUGUAAGGCUGAGCUCACUCAAUUGACUGAGAAAAGAAUUCAUCAUCUUAUACGUCCUGGUGAGUAGAGCUGUACAACAACCGGAAUUCGAAAACUCGGAUCUUUAGCAUCCGAGUUUCCGAAUAUCCGGUUGUCAACCGGAUUCCAGGAAUCCUUUGUUUUUUUUACUGUUUCUGUGACUUUUUUUUGGAUUUCGAAUCUCUGCGUUGGAAAAGUCACAGAAACAGUAAAAAAAAACAAUGGAUUCGGCGAAUCCGGGUGUCAUCCGGUUAAUCGGUUAAAGCAGUAACCGGAUGGCAUAUUCCGAUUUCAUUCCGAUUAUCCGGUUGUUGUACAGCACUACUGGUGAGGUACUACGUAUUACCCACUGAUUAGUGUGGUGUAAUUGAGAAUUAAGAAAGUGAACUUUACUCGAGGAAUUUGGUUAGAGUUUCCCUGGGGACAUGAAUGCAGCUUCCUUCGGUUACUAAUUUCCUUUUUGGUUUCAACUUUCAGUAAGUGUGUAUAACUAGGAAAUUGUAGUAAUAAUGAAUUGGUCCAUGUUACUGCGAUGAACAUUUUAAAUGAAGGUUGAAACUUGAAAAUUGAAAUAAGCAACUUUGAAGCCUGUUCUCGUCUCUGUAAAUAAGUAACCCCCUCCCCGCUCCUCCUUCUGUUAUCAAUCGUAGUGAAGUACUGUCUAUCUAGUAUCUAGUUCCAGGUUCCCCAUCAUUGCAAAAACUAUUAUUUAGAUAAAAAUUUGCAAUCAAGUACUUUUCAGUGCACGGAAACAAAGUCGAUCCACCGUCCUUGAAAUUUUAUCUUAUCAACAGCUACGUAUUAUUUUGGCAAGGGAUACAUUUUAUCUUACAUCCCCAGAACCAUCCUCACUUGUAAGUUGUAAAUGACUGUUUGCCACUGUCUAAUGAAUUUUAAGAAUCACGGUUUCUGUUUCUUUAUUCUUCAAGUGCUUGCUAUUCUAACGUUGUAAUCUAUACAACUAUCUAUACCUAUAGUUGAAAACCCAUUCUUCAUGAUUUUCACUAUCUAUCUCCAUGGUUAUCUUUUCAACUGUGUACAUUUUCAAAAAGAAAUUUGAAGUUUGAUUUCAAAUAUUUGUAUUUUUAAAUGAGAAGAUAAUGACGGUGCAAAGAAGCCUCUUCUGUAACUGGCAGUACUUUUUUCUGUUCAAAACGAUUUAUAUGUAUUUCGUAAAAUAAUGUUGAUUUUCACUAAACAAGUACGUGAUUCCGCGUAAUUGAACCGUCGCGUCGCCGCGUCAACGGAAAUUAUGCGAUAUGGACUGAAACAGCGAAGUAAAUGCCGGAUGCAAUGUUAGAGAUUUAUCAGUAUUCUAUGAAACAUUGAUGAGAUUCUCUUAUCAGCGUUGUAACGUUUUAAUUUUUUCCGUUAGAAUUAAUAUCACCACCCGGAAAUGACUAUAUUAUUUGAAAUAAUUUCAUUUAAUCAUCUGCGCAGCAAAUUUAGUUCAAAUUUGAGGAUUUUGUUAGAAUAGAUAAUUUAAUCGAUGUAGAGUUUGUCACUUGUGUUUUUUUUUUUGGUGAGAUUUACAUUUUACAGUGUGCUCAGCCCCCUCCCUCACACUAAAUUUUUGUUUAAAAUGUUGAAAAGUGACAUGGAAUAGGAGUUUACAAUUUACAUGAAACGAACUCAAGUCUUCGUCACGGUGACUCAGGGAGUCAGAGUGAGUGUGAGAACAUAUCAGAGUGUUACAAAAUUAAGUAUUUUUUUCUGUUUUGAUUUCUCGAUGGAUGUUAAUUUAUUUAGUAUAAUGAUUUAAGUUCAUGAAUAUUGAGUGAAUUUCAAGACAAACAUUUGACAAUCCUAUGAGAUUUAAUUCUAAAUUAUUUUUUCAAAUUUCGAUGAUUUAUGGUUGAGUAUUGAUGGUUAUUGACUUGUUGGCUGCAGUCCAUGAUUGUUUGCUUCGAGUGUUAAUGCAAGCAUUGAUUUUUAAAUGAAAAACUAAUCAGAAUCAACUGAACUAUCGCGAUGCAGUACCUAUUUCAUUUCUGCAUGUCAUUAUUCUUCAUUUGAAAUAACGAAAGUGUUCAAGGACGUACAUGGUUUAUUGACCCAAGUCGUCUCGUGUUUUUCCAGAAAAUCAGUAGAAGCUAUUAAAAUUCAUUAUUUUUGCUGUCAUUGUUUCAGUAGAUGGGUAAGAGUGAUAAUGGGAGCAUUUCUUUUGUGAGGAAAUGAAGUAUUGUUAGGAGGCAUGUGAUCAAAAUUAAAUUGUAUCAUUUUUAAAAUGGCAGUCUUGCGGUGAAGGGAUGAGGUGGUACGAACUGUAAAAUGGUAUCAAAAAACCUGUAGUAUAUUGUACGACACUGUGAACAAGUGAAAAAUUUGAAGGAAAAAAAGGUACUUAGGCCAGUAGCUAUCACUUAGCAUUUAGCAGAGACUCAAGGCCAAAGCCAAACUAAUGAAGUUGUAUUUUGUAGGAUUCUAUUUUGGAAAUUUUUUUUGUUUUUAAUUUCAACUUUUUAAUGGGAAUAAGGAAUAACAAACCAGUACAUAUUUGCAUGGUAGAAAUGUUACAAUAUUGUUGAAAAAAAAUUAUUCAUUUUCCUUAAAUUUUUGGUAUUAUCAUAAAGAAAUGAUAAACUACGAUCUGCUAAUAUAAAAAAAGUUGUCUUCAUCUGUUAUGUCGUAAAUGCUUAUAAUAUUGAAUUAAGAAAGAAAGUUGGGAAUUAUUUUAUUUUUGAUGGAACUCUUUUUAUAAUUAUAUUGUAUAAUAAAAGACACUUUUUUGAUACCUGGUGCAGAAUCACGUGUGUGUGUACAGUUUUGUGUAAAAUUUUGUUCACCCUGUCACGGUAACAGCUCGAAAUUUAAUAAAUUCCUGCAUUUUUUACACUUGCACAUCAAGAGAAACCUCAAAAAUAAGAAACAAAAAGUGAGAAAGUUCUUUUAAAAAAAUAUGUUCUUUCUCGCGAGUGAAUUUAGCAAAGGGCGGGAAAAAAUCUCAUCCUAUGCAUCGUACGACGUGGCGCGCACCUUGUUCAAUCUGAUUUCCCCUCUUUUGAUCUCGUCGUCGUCGUCUUGACGUUGCGGCGGCAACUUUCUCCCCUCCAAGACGCUGACUUAGACGGAAAAGUGACGUCUUUCGGUGACGUUCGCUUUUCUUCGGCUUUCUUCGGGUAUAGUGGUUUCGAGACGUGGCUUGUUUUCUGCGGUCUGUUACAUUCCACCGUUCGGUAUGCUUUUUCCCGCCGAACAGUUUCAUUCUUUUUUUGCGGGCCAGUCGUCGCGAAUGAUGAAGUUUUCGUGCACCUUACAUUACACCGUGUUCUGUUCUUGCCCUUGCUCGGCUAAAUAUGAUUUGAUUUACCGGCUUUUUUCUAGUACUAGUGUCACUCUGUUUCUUUGAUAUGGACGCAAUUUGAACACCGGAUUUUCAUCGGGGAAUUUAAAGGCAAAAACCAGUAGCGAGGUAUAGAGUUCCUACGUUCUGUGAUGUCGUAGGAACUUCAUACCGUGCUCUUGGUCACGCCAUGCUCAUCAUUUAUUAUUGCCAUUAUUUUAUCUAUAAUACUUGCUUUUAAUUUGGGCUUCUCGAUGUGUUAUUUGAAACCUUUGUUUUAUACAUAAGAUGUAAUUAGUUAUAAUUGAAAAUUCUCUGUAUGUCUUCUCUCACCACUGUUGAGGUACAUUAUGUUUGAACGUUUAGAUACCAAUGAACGUGAGAUAGAAUUGUGUCUAUGUUGAUUGGAAAAGACCAAGUGGUAAUGAGUUCCGUUUUAAUAAAUGGAAAUAAGAAUCUUAUUUCUAGCGAAAUUAUCCCUCCUGAACCUUUGCAAUUUCUGUGAUGAAUAUUAAUACAUAAUUAAUCAUUUGUUUA